rnacentral:rRNA from 1 species
GGGAUCACACAAGCGGUGGAGCAUGUUGUUUAAUUCGAAGCAACGCGAAGAACCUUACCAGGCCUUGACAUGUACGGAUUAGCUCCCUGAAAGGGGAGUGACAGCUCUUCGGAGUCGGAACGUAUACAGGUGUUGCAUGGCUGUCGUCAGCUCGUGCCGUGAGGUGUUGGGUUAAGUCCCGUAACGAGCGAAACCCUUAUCGUUAGUUGCCAGCGGGUUAUGCCGGGGACUCUAGCGAGACUGCCGUUGUCAAAACGGAGGAAGGUGGGGACGACCGUCAAGUCAUCAUGGCCCUUAUGGCCUGGGCUACAAACGUGCUACAAUGGUCCGUACAAUGGGUACCCAAGUCGCGAGACG